ensembl:lncRNA
AGACGCAACUGAGUGUCACAAUCAGACAGUGCUGGAGUUGAUUGAUCAGAAUCAAACACAAUGGCAGAUUAUUAUCAUCAUUUCUGCACUUACGAACGGGCUUCUGAUCAUUGUAGUGAUUCUUUUUGCUCUUGGGAAUGCAGAACAGUUGGAAAAACAUUUAUAGUGCUGAUCUGCAGACAGAAGUUACAUAUCAGCCUCAAGACGCAAAGUGCAAAAAGGUAAAUAUACCUUUAAGUGCAAAAGUUACAAGUGCAAAAAGGUAAAUAUGUGAAACCAUAUAACAUUACUAAAAUUCUUAACUACUUAGUUAUUGAGGAAUAUAUAUAUACUUGUCUUACUUCUAUAAGUAAAACAAAUUAUACAUUUAGACAUUUAUAUAUAAAUGUCACGACACGCACACAGACAGGUAGAUCCAAAAGCAGUAUGUUUAUUGGGGUGAUCCAAAAUCAGAAGACAUCCAGGCAAAGGUCAAAAUCCAGGUAAUCCGUCCAAAACAAGAAACAUAGACAACAUCCAGAAACACGAGAAACCAGGGAACCAGGAAAACACAGGGUGACAUUCAACAAAGACUCCGUGACAAUGACAGAACAACCGGGGUAUUUAUACACCGAGAAAUGACAAUGCUAACGGGGAAUUGGCUGAGUGCAAUGAUUAGUAACCACGGACAGCUGAGUGCAAUGAGCAGUGAUGAAACAGACAAGACUAUGGGAAAUGCAGUUCUAAAGUGGGGUGACGAUAAGGGGAAGUGAGACCUCUAGUGGCCACCCAGGGAGACACAGAACAGACACCGUGACACUACCCCCCCUCUAAGGAGCAGCUUCCAGAUGCUCCUCAGAACCAAAUAAACACAAAACAAAGAGACCAGGAGGGAGGUGGACUGGUGGAGGCAGAACAGGGGGAGGGAUGGCGGGCCAGGCCCGUGUAGGGGAACUGGGACCGGCAGCGAUGGCUCCCCUGGUAGCCCAGGUGGCUCGGUCAGAAGUGGUCAAAACGCAAGCAGUGUUCUGCAAUAAAUUGCAAAAAUUACCAGUCCACCAGAAGCGAUUUGGCAUUUCAUCGAUUUCCAAAGGAUGCACAAAGGUGUGCCAGGUGGGUCCAAAAUCUAAGGAAUGCAUCCCUUCAUGGCAUACCUUUGGUUCAGCUGCAUCGGACCUACAGGGUGUGCAGUGCCCAUUUCCACAGCAGCCAGUUCAAAAGACCAUCUGAUGUGUAUGUGUAAUA